rnacentral:lncRNA from 1 species
UGAUAUGUGUUUUUUAGAUGAAUUGAAGAGACCAAUAAAACAUUAGUGGGACACUUUUCCAGUUCCAGAGAGACGCUUUUAGACAUCAAUUCAUAGACAAUGUGGACAUGAUUAAAACUGCCAAGGAAAAUGUUACAUGUUUGUAAUGAUGAUGGGUUCAGUCGAUGGAUAGAAGCAACAUCAUCAAAAGAUCUUGGAGUCAAAAUAAAUCUGUCACUGCAUGAUUUGGUACAUCAUUUUGGGGAAGAAAGUUAAUCUCUCAAGUAAAUAUCAGAUCAGAAAAUUUGCACUAACACUAACCUAUAGGAAGUUGCUUUGCUACUUGCGCUUAUGAGCUUUCACAAUCAAGAGUACUGUGAUAAAUCUUUUACUGCAUGAAUUACUAACUUACAAAGCUAUGCUUUACUGCAGCUGAACAAUUAAGCUUUUCGCUUGAGCAGCUGAAAAAUUAGUGAAUUAAAAUAUGAGGCAGCUAACUACGAUGCAAAGAUCUAUCGAUUAGCAGGAGGAAUGCCAAAAUCUGAUCCCAGUCAAGAGGUGGAGGCCAGUCGAGCCAGAGCACCAGGUGUACAUCACCGUCUUUUGAGGAGGGUGGCACAAAGAACGAGGAGAAGACCUGAACACUGUGGUCCUGGUGAACUCUACUUCAAUGCAGGAAGAGGGCAAUAUGAUGUGGCGUCAUCUACCGCUGACUGCCCAGAAAAAACAAGGGAAGUAUGACUUGAUAAGAGACACUCCCAGAAUGACUGUAGAACUCGUCCUGUUUUCCUGGUGCUGCUGCUGAGGGACAAUGUGUGGAGAGAGACCGAGAGAGAGACUGAUGACAACAAUGAGGGUGAAGGUCAAACUGGUGCCAGUACAGCUGUGAGAAGAAGAAGUGGGAGACAUUGUCAUCACGGGUGAGUACGAUGCAACCCAAAACACAAUCCACACCACUCCAGACAGAGCUAGAACCCAUGCCAACAUUCACAGUUUAUUACAGAUUUACAAUUAGGUUAAGGAAAAUAGAUAACUCGGGCCCCGUUGGGGCACUGGCGGGCCCGAGCUGUGUCGCGCCUCCCCCAACACGACCGCCUCUCCCUCCCGAUCGCGUCGCACUCAAGGUCCAAAGAUGGUGUUCGCACUUGUCUGUGGUCAUUUAUCAUUAUAAUGAAUGGGAGGCGCAGUUUCUACCAAAACGCUCGCUGCAGACAAACUACAUGUCCUAUUUGAAAAAAGUCUGGACCAUGAGUGAGGGCACAAACACAGCUAGGAUAUAUCCAAAUGGCAAGUUGCUCCUCCUUUCGGAGGAGUUUGAACACAUGACAUGUGUUUGAGCCAUUGAGCGAUGGGCAGGAAAAACUUGACUUUUUCUCCUGCCAUGGGGGGGCGCUCUUUUGGGGAGUAAAAAUUCCUUCACAAAUGUGUUGAUGGCUAGACAUUGCAUCAUCCUAGAAAACUUGGAAGCCAGUGAGGACAAAAAUGAAAAGUUAUAAGACUUUUCAUAAUGUGGAUUUUUGGGUUAUCUUUGGUGCCCCCUAGAACAUAAACCGUGGGGUGCAGCGUCAUGAUUUGUACAACUUUUAAUGGCCAUGGGGUGUAGAUUGGCCUGAGCAAAUUUGGUGCCGGUGGAACGAAAGCUUUAGGAGGAGUUAGCCACAUUCCAAUGUGUGCGAAUCGAUCAAAAAUGCGUAAUAGCCCUUUAACCGUACAUUUUACAGAUACAUGCGCAUUGACUUUUUCGUAGAUCUUAUUGAGAUACACGUGAUUGUCAAAUUUUGUUUCAAUAUGACAAAGCGUACAGGCGUGACACUCAACAAUGUGUAUUUUCACCUUAUGGGACAAGAAAAAAUGGACUUUUUUCUCCUGCCAUGGGGGGGCGCUCUUUUGGGGAGUAAAAAUUCCUUCACAAAUGUGUUGAUGGCUGGACAUUGCAUCAUCCUAGAAAACUUGGAGGCCAGUGAGGACAAAAAUAAAAAGUUAUAAGACUUUUAAGACUGUGGAUUUUUGGGUUAUCUUUGGCGCCCCCUAGAACGUAAACCGUGGGGUGCAGCGUCAUGAUUUGUACAACUUUUAAUGGCCAUGGGGUGUAGAUUGGCCUGAGCAAAUUUGGUGCCGGUGGAACGAAAGCCUUCGGAGGAGAUAGCGAAAUUCCACUGUGUGCGGAUCGGCAAAAAAUGCGAAAUAGCCCUUUAACCGUACAUUUGACAGGUACGCCCGCACUGACUUUUUUGUAGAUCUUAUUGAGAUACACGUGUGUGUCAAAUUUUGUGUCAUUUUGACAAAGCGUACAGGUGUGACACUCAAUCAUGUGAAUUUUUCACCUUAGGGGGCGCUAUGGAGCCAUUUUGCAUUUGAUUGUUUGGCCGACUUCAGAAUAUCAAAUUUCUCACCAGGCCCGGUCGUCCUGCCAAAUUUCAUGAGUUUUCACCAUUGGGAAGUGGGCCAUUUUCCAGUUCAAAGGGGCAGAAAAAUAAGAAGAAAACUAGGGCCCCGUUGGGGCACUGGCGGGCCCGAGCCGUGUCACGCCGCCCCCAACACGACCGCCUCUCCCUCCCGAUCGCGUCACACUCAAGGUUCAACGAUGGUGUGCGCACUUGUCUGUGGUCAUUUACCAUUAUAAUGAAUGGGAGGCGCAGUUUCUACCAAAACGCUUGCUGCAGACAAACUACAUGUCCUAUUUGAAAAAAGUCUGGACCAUGAGUGAGGGCACAAACACAGCUAGGAUAUAUCCAAAUGGCAAGUUCCUCCUCCUUUCGUUUUUUUCCGAGAGAGCGAUGUGUUUGAGCCAUUGAGCGAUGGGCAGGAAAAACUUGACUUUUUCUCCUGCCAUGGGGGGGCACUCUUUUAGGGAGAAAAAAUUCCUUCACAAAUGUGUUGAUGGCUAGACAUUGCAUCAUCCUAGAAAACUUUGAAGCCAGUGAGGACAAAAAUGAAAAGUUAUAAGACUUUUAAGAAUGUGGAUUUUUGGGUUAUCUUUGGCGACCCCUAGAACGUAAACCGUGGGGUGCAGCAUCAUGAUUUGUACAACUUUUAAUGGCCAUGGGGUGUAGAUUGGCCUGAGCAAAUUUGGUGCCGGUGGAACGAAAGCUUUAGGAGGAGUUAGCCACAUUCCAAUGUGUGCGAAUCAACCAAAAAUGCGAAAUAGCCCUUUAACCGUACAUUUUGCAGACACGUGCGCAUUGACUUUUUCGUAGAUCUUAUUGAGAUACACGUGAUUAUCAAAUUUUGUUUCAAUAUGACAAAGCGUACAGGCGUGACACUCAACAAUGUGUAUUUUCACCUUAUAGGACAAGAAAAAAUGGCCUUUUUUCUCCUGCCAUCGGGGGGCGCUCUUUUGGGGAGUAAAAAUUCCUUCACAAAUGUGUUGAUGGCUGGACAUUGCAUCAUCCUAGAAAACUUGGAGGCCAGUGAGGACAAAAAUAAAAAGUUAUAAGACUUGUAAGAAUGUGGAUUUUUGGGUUAUCUUUGGCGCCCCCUACAACGUAAACCGUGGGGUGCAGCGUCAUGAUUUGUACAACUUUGAAUGGCCAUGGGGUGUAGAUUGGCCUGAGCAAAUUUGGUGCCGGUGGAACGAAAGCCUUCGGAGGAGUUAGCGAAAUUCCAAUGUGUGCGGAUCGGCAAAAAAUGCGGAAUAACCCUUUAACCGUACAUUUGACAGAUACGCCCGCACUGACUUUUUUGUAGAUCUUAUUGAGAUACACGUGUGUGUCAAAUUUUGUGUCAUUUUGACAAAGCGUACAGCCGUGACACUCAAUCAUGUGAAUUUUUCACCUUAGGGGGCGCUAUGGAGCCAUUUUGCAUUUGAUUGUUUGGCCGACUUCAGAAUAUCGAAUUUUUCACCAGGCCCGGUCGUCCUGCCAAAUUUCAUGAGUUUUCACCAGUGGGAAGUGGGCCAUUUUCCAGUUCAAAGGGGCAGAAAAAUAACUAGGACCCCGUUGGGGCACUGGCGGGCCCGAGCCGUGUCGCGUCCCCCCCCCCCCAACGUGCUGCCUUCCCGUCCCAUUUGUGUCCUCUGGCCAUCGCCCUCUCUGGUAACGCCCAUCACUGCAAAGACCCUUUUCCUUCAUCGGCGUUUGCUGUUCUUCCUGCCAGUGCGUGUUGCUUUCACUUACACUUGCCACAGCCAGCCUCGUGAGUGCCUAGCCUAUUGGAUAUCACUGUCACCUACACAGGACAGUCAUUACCUUUCUAUUAAUACUUUGUGUUUUAAUUUCACAUUAAUUUCCAUAUUGUAUAAACAACUGGAAAAAACUUGAGCCCCUGCCCCUGUAUAAUCAUGUGCAUGUCUCUGUUCUAGCUCCAAGGUGAAUCUUCACUGCUCAUGUUCUCCUCAGAAGCACUCACCUCACUCCCCUCAGGUUACUGUACACAUGCACCAACUGCCUGCUUCAGGUUUGGAUGGAGCUUCAUGGUUGUCUUUUGGAGAAAUGACCAGUCAAGUUGUGUUUGAAAUUUGAUUUUUUUCAGGGGCAAAAGGAGCCUCUGCAUUCUUGUCAAAUAUGUAAAUAGCAUGUUUUUGCAGGUGCUAAAAACCAGACUCUGAGUGUGUGUGUGUGUGUGUGUGUGUGUGUGUGUGUGUGUGUGUGUGUGUGUGUGUGUGUGUGUGUGUCUGUGUGUGCGUUCAAGUCACAUGACAUAUUUAACCGGAUGUAGCUGCAAGACGGAGCCUCGUUGACUCUCCGUUUCAACCUAUCUCAAAAGUGAGGACCUCAACCUAUAUACCAGUUUUUAAAUUGUGUUGAUAGGCCAAAUAAAACCAGAGUUAUAAUAAAUUAUGUCCGCGAUACUUUUUUUCUGCUUAUUUUGAUCACGUCGGCGCUCGAUCGCGCUGUAUGAGACAGGAAAACAUAGCAUGCAGACAUUAGCGACAGGUUUUACAGGCGGAAAAGGCUUGCCAAAAGAAAAAAAAAACACACCACAACAUCUCUCCUAUUGGUGGAAAACUUCACCACAACAACCAAUCCAAAAUUAUAUGGUGACUGAUUGAGAAGGGGCGGGCGCUUACGUUCUUCCUGCAACAUGAGAAGGGAGGGAGGGACUCUCAGCAGGGAUGCAGUCUGGGACACGUAGUUGCAAACCUAGCGACU